rnacentral:rRNA from 1 species
UACGGGGGGGGCAAGCGUUGUUCGGAAUUACUGGGCGUAAAGGGCUCGUAGGCGGCCAACUAAGUCCGACGUGAAAUCCCAAGGCUUAACCUUGGAACUGCGUCGGAUACUGGAUGGCUUGAAUUCGGGAGAGGGAUGCAGAAUUCCAGGUGUAGCGGUGAAAUGCGUAGAUAUCGGGAGGAACACCGGUGGCGAAGGCGGCGACCUGGGUCGAGACUGACGCUGAGGCGCGAAAGCGUGGGGAGCAAACAGG